UGUUUGGAAAACGAUAAAUAUAUUUCUAUUACUUAUCGAUAGUCAGUAUAAUUGGACUUAGUCAAAUAGCGAUAUAUAAACUACUUAACAAUUAUCUAUCUAUCUGCUAAACUGGUUGCACUGCCCGCGCAACUAAGUAGAACAUAACAAAUGAAUCUAUCUGACAACAUGGUUGUUCUGUCACAGUUGAUUCUGCUCUAUUGCUAUUGGUGGAACGACUGGGAAGAGAAUUGUUUACCAAAACAGUGUUGUUGUGAUAACCUCACAGGUAUUUCAACACUUCCCCUCAAUUCGAACGUUCAGUCGUUUAAACAAAUUUAGAUGUUGGAUCUUUGGUAGCCCUUUUGUGAAUGCAUCUGCAGGUUGGUCAACUGAUGGAAGGAACUGCAGUCUCAAACUGCCCUUCUUAAUCAGCUCUCGGAUGAACAUAUACUUUAUGUCCAAGUUUUUCAUCCUUUGGUGGCUCCUUGGUUCUUCUGCAUACUUUAUGCAAGGAAUGUUGUCCUCCAUAAUAAUAAAUGCGCAUGAUAAAGCUAUCAAUUCUGCCUCUGAUGACGACAAACUAACCGUUUGUUGUCUUUUCGUUGCCCAUGCAACUAGGUUUCCAUAAACCAGGAAAGCAUAUCCUGAUAUUGAUUUCCGGUCAUCUUCGUCGUUGGCAAAGUCUGCAUCGGCAUAUCCUAUCAACACAU